rnacentral:rRNA from 1 species
GAUGAACGCUAGCGGCAGGCCUAACACAUGCAAGUCGAGGGGUAGAAGUUACUUGUAACUUUGAGACCGGCGCACGGGUGCGUAACGCGUAUGCAAUCUACCUUUUACAGAGGGAUAGCCCAGAGAAAUUUGGAUUAAUACCUCAUAGUAUCUUUGCCUGGCAUCGGGUGAUUAUUAAAGUUCCAACGGUAAAAGAUGAGCAUGCGUCCUAUUAGCUAGAUGGUAAGGUAACGGCUUACCAUGGCAACGAUAGGUAGGGGUCCUGAGAGGGAGAUCCCCCACACUGGUACUGAGACACGGACCAGACUCCUACGGGAGGCAGCAGUGAGGAAUAAUGGACAAUGGGCGCAAGCCUGAUCCAGCCAUGCCGCGUGCAGGAAGAAGCAUCUAUGGUGUGUAAACUGCUUUUGUACGGGAAGAAACACUCCUACGUGUAGGAGCUUGACGGUACCGUAAGAAUAAGGAUCGGCUAACUCCGUGCCAGCAGCCGCCGUAACAC